UACAGAGGUCCCGAGCGUUGUUCGGAUUCACUGGGCGUAAAGGGUGCGUAGGUGGUUGGGUAAGUUUGAUGUGAAAGCUCAGGGCUUAACCCUGAAAUGGCAUUGAAUACUACUUAACUGGAGGUUUGGAGGGGGGACUGGAAUUCUUGGUGUAGCAGUGAAAUGCGUAGAGAUCGGGAGGAACACCAGAGGCGAAGGCGGCGACCUGGACAAGUACUGACACUCAACUACGAAAGCGUGGGGAGCAAACAGG
rnacentral:rRNA from 1 species